UUCUCUUUCUCCCACAAUGAGAAGAGGGAGGGUUGGUUCUAAUACAAAUGUUCUAUUUCUUUAGAUGGCAGAAAAGCUCCAGCUCUGCUUGUUUCCAAGCAGAAAAGAAGACAGAUCACUGGAUCACUGGAAGCCCUCGGCAGCCUGCCAUGGAGAGGGGCUCUUGGGGAGAGAAGAAGCCUGUUUCAAGCCCAGAUGCUCUUAUUUACUUGUUGUCUGCCUCUUGUCAUUUCCCCUGGGCAGGGAAGCCAGGCCCUUCUCCUCCUGCUUGCCUAAGUUCAGUCACUCCAUUUCUUGCUCAUCCUACCUUUCCAUGAGGGAUGUACAGUGUUCAAAAAGGACUAGCACCUCUGGUGUGAGGGCUUACCAAGUCCUUUUCAAGGUUGCUCAUCUACUUUAGUGUCCACUUGGCACUCAACUCUCACCCAUGACUCCAAGAGGCAUGCACAGGGGCUAUAUCCCAGUAAACCAGGUUGGAAAUUA